AUUGAACGCUGGCGGCAGGCCUAACACAUGCAAGUCGAGCGGAUGAAGGGAGCUUGCUCCUGGAUUCAGCGGCGGACGGGUGAGUAAUGCCUAGGAAUCUGCCUGGUCGUGGGGGAUAACGUCCGGAAACGGGCGCUAAUACCGCAUACGUCCUGAGGGAGAAAGUGGGGGAUCUUCGGACCUCACGCUAUCAGAUGAGCCUAGGUCGGAUUAGCUAGUUGGUGGGGUAAAGGCCUACCAAGGCGACGAUCCGUAACUGGUCUGAGAGGAUGAUCAGUCACACUGGAACUGAGACACGGUCCAGACUCCUACGUGAGGCAGCAGUGGGGAAUAUUGGACAAUGGGCGAAAGCCUGAUCCAGCCAUGCCGCGUGUGUGAAGAAGGUCUUCGGAUUGUAAAGCACUUUAAGUUGGGAGGAAGGGCAGUAAGUUAAUACCUUGCUGUUUUGACGUUACCAACAGAAUAAGCACCGGCUAACUUCGUG
rnacentral:rRNA from 1 species